AUGCCGGUCUCUCCCGGAAGCGCUGCCAAGCUCUCCCGCAUGGAGCGCGAGCUCAGUGCCUCCGAAGCCGCCCCCGCCGCGGCCGCGCUCUUCGCUUGGGGUGCAAAUAGUUAUGGGCAACUUGGCCUUGGCCAUAAGCAAGAUGUGCUUUUGCCCCAGCAACUGACUGACUUCUGCAAACCUGGGUAUGUCAGGAAAAUCACAGGAGGAGGGGGACAUUCUACAAAUGUCACAGAUGGAAGAGGCCUUUUUGUUUGUGGCUUGAACAAAGAUGGACAGUUGGGGCUUGGUCAUACAGAGGAUGUUCUGUGUUUUACUUUCUGCAAAUUCCUUGGUGGCUGUCCCAUCCAACAGGUGGCCUGUGGCUGGGAUUUCACCAUUAUGCUCACAGAAAGUGGUCAAGUUCUAUCAUGUGGAUCCAACGCCUUUGGCCAGUUAGGUGUUCCUCCUGGGCCUCGAAGAUGUUUGGUUCCCCAGGCCAUUGAGCUCCUGAGAGAGAAGGUUGUUUGUGUUGCUGCUGGACUGAGGCGUGCACUAGCUGCUACAGUGAGUGGCACUGUGUUCCAGUGGGGGGACUGGCUUGGCAUCAUCUGGACGGCGGUUAUGCCAUGGGCAGACUCUUCCAUUGUUUUUGACAGCAGAGGAAUCAAGUAGAGUUACAGGCCUAGAGAAUUCUAAAGCAAUAUGUGUUCUCGCUGGCUCAGCCCACUCAGCUGCAUUAACAGAAACUGGCAAGGUGUUUACGUGGGG